UUUCUGAUUUUUGUUCCCUCUUAGCUGGCUCCCCUCAUCCGCACGUUGGAAUCUUCUCGGGCAAGCUUGAUUUGCCGACCUCAGCUUCUGCAUCUCUCGGCCCCAAAAACCCCGCAGCUCCUCGCCAACGUUUUCAUCAUUUCAACGCCACGAAAACUCCUGUCCCGUGUCUCCACUUCACGGAACUUCAGUCCACCGCAUCUGCUUGAAGACGCCGAGGCAACACCGAAGCAGCUCCGUGCCACGUUUUCAGUCAACCUUGCUGCCUCUCGGACGACCGGUUGACCUACGCUCAGCCAGCAUGCGACAGCUGCUUCCUUCAAGUGUUGUCCAGCACUGAAGACCGAAGUCCUCUCAGCCUCCACGCGUCCGACUUGCUCCGUGGGUCAAACUCCAGCAACAAGCUUCGGUUUGUUGACCGAAGACCCCACGACACCAACAGAGAAGCCACGGGAACGGAGGCAGUCAGCCACGCCAUCCACCGAAGACUCCACCGAACGCCCUCUUCUCUCCAUCCGCGGCCAGCUGUCCGCGAUUCUGCUUCCCCGGUCAACCGUCGAAGUCCACAGCAAGCACCGAAGCCAUUUUGUUGACUGAAGCUACUCACCGCUUCGUGCGUCCAGCGAAGCCACUGUCCACCGAGCCUCCAGUCCACGUAGCCUUCGGCUGCUCCCUCCGAUUCAACCAAGUCUUCGUCUGCGAGAUCCACCGAGCAUCCUCACGCCGCCAGCACAUCGGUCAAAUCCAACAACUCGCCCCACUGAUUGUUGACCAGAGCAGCUGCCAGCGUCCCGACCUUCAUCCAUUUUCAACGCCAUCAACGGCUUCGAUUGGUCAAGCUGCACGAAGCCUCGUGUGUCUUCCCUCAGCUCCAGCGACGUCCAUCGAAGCAGCAACCCAGCAUCUCCGUGGAUUGAACCCAGCAAUUCGGGCCCAGCAGUCCAGCGAAGACCGAAGCAGCCCACGCAAAUUUCUCUUCGUGGAUUGCAGCCCAACAGCGGCCUUUGUUGCUUCUCUCACCAGGCCAGAUCUGCAGCCCACGUGACCUUCAAUUCAACAAACCAGCCGAAGACAAGCCUUGCAGCAAGCCCAGCCCGUGAGUUUCAAUCCUUUGGGCCACCGAAUUCAGCACAAGACCAGCAAGCCCAGUUCAGCUAGCGCACUUGGUUCAGUCCAAUUCAGCAGGCCCAACCCAACUUGGGUCCAGCCCAAAAGCAAGAACAAAUCUCAUUUGGGAUGAGAUUUGUUGGGCCAAGGUCGAGGCCCGGUCCAAGCCUGUCGGGGUCGUCGAAAGCCCGAUUUCGGCCGCCGUCGCAGUAAUUCGGUUCCCGCUUUUAAUCAAGACCCUGAGAAAGAGCCGAGGAGGAGGAACCUGAGGAAGAGAAAGAUUUUUGAAGAAGAAGAUGAUGAUCCAGAGAGGGAUCUUGAGUACAACCCGGAUGUGGAUUGAGAUCCCAUCCCUUUUGUGAACCCUGUUUUAGUGUAAAUAGGUGUGAGACUUGGUUGCUGUAAAUAGUAUUGUAAAGAUACUAUGAGUUGCACUAUUAAUAAAAGUGUAGUUGAGAAUUUCAAUACGAAAAAUAUGGCCUGCUUUUC